rnacentral:rRNA from 1 species
GACGAACGCUGGCGGCGUGCUUAACACAUGCAAGUCGAACGGAAAGGCCCUGCUUUUGUGGGGUGCUCGAGUGGCGAACGGGUGAGUAACACGUGAGUAACCUGCCCUUGACUUUGGGAUAACUUCAGGAAACUGGGGCUAAUACCGGAUAGGAGCCCCUGCUGCAUGGUGGGGGUUGGAAAGUUUCGGCGGUUGGGGAUGGACUCGCGGCUUAUCAGCUUGUUGGUGGGGUAGUGGUUUACCAAGGGUUUGACGGGUAGGCGGCCUGGGAGGGUGACCGGGGACCAUGGGACUACGGGAGGGAGCAGACUCCUACGGGAGGCAGCAGUGGGGAAUAUUGCACAAUGGGCGGAAGCCUGAUGCAGCGGCGCCGCGUGCGGGAUGACGGCCUUCGGGUUGUAAACCGCUUUCGCCUGUGACGAAGCGUGAGUGACGGUAAUGGGUAAAGAAGCACCGGCUAACUACGUG